UACGUAGGGUGCGAGCGUUAAUCGGAAUUACUGGGCGUAAAGCGAGCGCAGACGGUUAGUUAAGCAAGAUGUGAAAUCCCCGAGCUCAACUUGGGAAUGGCGUUUUGAACUGGCUAACUAGAGUGUGUCAGAGGGGGGUAGAAUUCCACGUGUAGCAGUGAAAUGCAUAGAGAUGUGGAGGAAUACCGAUGGCGAAGGCAGCCCCCUGGGAUAACACUGACGUUCAUGCUCGAAAGCGUGGGGAGCAAACAGG
rnacentral:rRNA from 1 species